GAAAGUGGCUUCGGCCGCGAGUAGAGUGGCAAACGGGUGAGUAACGCGUGGGUGACCUGCCCUCGAGUGGGGGAUAACGUUCCGAAAGGGACGCUAAUACCGCAUGACAUCCCGCCUUUGAAGAGGUGGAGAUUGAAGCCGGGGAUCGCAAGACCUGGCGCUUGAGGAGGGGCCCGCGUCCGAUUAGCUAGUUGGUGGGGUAACGGCUCAUCAAGGCAACGAUCGGUAGCCGGCCUGAGAGGGCGGACGGCCACACUGGGACUGAGACACGGCGAAGACUCCUACGGGAUUUCUUCAGUGGGGGU
rnacentral:sRNA from 1 species